rnacentral:lncRNA from 1 species
AUGCUCCUGCUCCUGCCUCAACUUUCCAAAGUGCUGGGAUUAUAAGUGCACGCCAUCAUGCCCGACCUGACUUGAUGACUUCUUAAGAUUCAGUGAAGCCUGACUCAUUGCUCCAGCUGGAGAGUUGAUUAUGACACAAUGCCUGCCUUGAAGAGUCUCAAGCUUAGCUACUUUAGAUCACAUUUCUAAUGCUCUGGCAGCUCCUCACCCCAGAGGGAUUUUCACUGAGUAAGGUGAGUACAUUUCAAGGCCUUAUAUGGAAUAAAAUAGCAGGGUAUGAAGGCGGGGUGGGUGAUUCAGUGAGUAGGGUGUCUGAGAAUUAAAAAUCAAAGUUAACUGAGAUUCUUUGAUGGAAAAAUAGGGGCUAGAUAACCUGGUUCAAAAGAAAUAAGAACCUGCCUAAAACCUAGUUGCCACAAUAAAAUCAAACCUGAACAUGUGAGGUCUGAAAAAGUUCAUAGAUUUUAACUUUAGUACUGAGUUAAACACACCUGUGUACUUUCUGGCUUAAGUCAGAAGCAGAAAACUAGAAUCCUGUGAGAAACACUCAUUUGGAAGACAGGACAAGUUAAGUGCCCAAGCUUCACUGAUACUCUCUCUGCUACCUCAGAGAGUGCAGCUCCUUCAAAUAUACACUCCUCAAAUCUGGAUAAAAGCUUCGGUGGGUCCCACUAGGUCAAUCUUUUCCUGUAAGUAGUCAUCAAAAAAAAGUACCUCGGUGCUAGAGUUGGAGUCAGCACCAGUCUUGAAGACAUAAACAGUCUUGACAGCACCUAGAAUAAACAUGUGCUUGUCUGUAUCAUAGAAGGACAACAGAUACAUUUUAAGGGGAAAGCCCAAAUCAGCUGGAAAUACCUUUGCUCUGAUGUGAGGGCUUGAAUCCUCCCCUAGAACACAGGUAAAUAGAUUUAAUAUCUUCUGAGUUUUUGGCUUCUUUACUCUGGAUUACCAAAUUUUGGAAUUGCUAUUAAGAAUGAAGAUACAGAACCCAUCAAGGUUUAAUUGCUUAGUCUUUCUGCCCUGGGUAAAAUGUAGGUAAGAUUUUCUUCUACGUCUCUCCCAAUCUAGUCCUUUGACCAGUUCUAACUCAGUGAAAUACCCCUAAAGCUUUACUGUUCGUUUGGUCAAGCUACUUUUCUUCUACCUUCAUUUUCCUCAUCCGUUAAAUGUGUUUGGUAAUGUAUACUGUAUAUACUUUAUACUCCUGGGAUGAUAGCAAAUCAGAUAAUAUAGCUAAAAAUGAAGUCUACAAAAAAAAUGAGUCUUUGCAUGUGUAAAAUUCAGCCUCCUCAUGGUAAAUCCAAACCACAAUUGUUGUUUUCAAAAUAAAGAUUAUAAAUAGAAAGCAAAAUAAAAACACAUGCCUCAGUGUAGACUGGUAUGAGAAUUUUAAGGCAUGCAUAGGUUCAAUGGAAAUGCUGACUUAUCAGAAGCAGGGAAAAAAAGCCCAGUGCCUGAGCCAUAGUGUCAAUAGCUAGGCUUAUGUUUAUAAUUAAUGGGUUGCGGCAAUUCUGAUAACAUUAUUGCAUGUUUAUAGAUGAAUGUAUUUUGCUCUACCUCUUGUCAUUUGAAGUUUCAAUAUAAGCCCUGGUUUGAGUCCUAGUUUGAAAUGUAAAUGAUAUUGGACAUGAAAUAAGCUUCUUAAACCCGCAUCACACCCUCUCAGGAGUCUACAUGCCUUGUGAACCACUACACUGCUGUUCAAAAAGUGCCCUUCUAAUGAGGCCAAUUCUGACUAAUGCAUAUUCCAAGAAUAAUACUUGACCAAAAUUGAAUGCAAUUCUCGUGUACUUAUUAUAAUUUUCUAUGACAGAGAGCAGAGGCUAAAUUCGGUGAAAGUAUUGUUUUUCUUCUAAGCUUGGGUCUGCCAAAAUUUGUUUUUAUUCCCCUCCCUAAUCCCCCCGCCCCCCCGCAGUUAUUCCUUCUGGAAUGAUGUGUUGAUCAUGACCAACUGGGAAACUUGCUGGCAUCUGUAUUGUGCCCGUUUUCACCACUUUCCUUUGCCCCUUAGAUAGGUUUUUGGUACAGAACGGAAAUAUUCCCAAGUGGAAGAAUCAUUAACAACCACAAUGUCAAGAGCAGCCUUGAAAGGAGGCAUCUGCUAUUCCAUAUGUACAGGGAACUUGUCAUGCCGGCAAUGUAAAAGCCAUUUGAGGUCUGUAGUUUCCUCUUCCCCACAGAAGGAAAUGUGGCAGUGAGUCAAAUUGAUACAGGAAUUUUGAAUAUGUGUGGUCACACGAAGUUACAGAAGAUUAUAAAUUCAGCAUUAGAAACCGAAAGAAAAAAAAAGACAAGCCACAGGUAGUAUUCUCAUAUUAUAUUUGCUUGAGCUGUCAGAACAAAAUACUAGAGAGAAAUAUUUUUAUGACAUGGAGACGGAUCUGCUUGCCAAAAUUAUUUUCCACUAACUUAAAGCUAUGUAUCACUGUGCAAAUCUAAACACUCCUAUCCUUGUAGCAUCAACCAUUCAUCUUAUUACUGGCUAAAGAAUGCCCAUCUCAAAUAAACAAGUGUACAAGGUAGUGAGGUACAGGGUGUGAGGCACCAGAGGAGGAAGGCGCCCGCCUUCAGUGGGAUGGAUGACAUGUGUUCAAAGAUCUUGAGUAGCUUUAACUUGACGGCAAGGGCUACAGUCUAGGCUCCAAAUAUAUAGUACACUUCACUCUGUGUUUGUUUGUUAAGAAGUGAGAAUUGAUCACCAAGUUCAGUGGGAACUGUUGUAUGGGGAUUCAGUAGGCUUGUAUUUUUUUCUCCAAAGCUCACUGCAUGUUUUUUCUUGCCUUUCCUGUGACCCUUACUUAGCCAUGUCUCCAGAUGAUCUCCUAGAGCAAAUCUUUAAAUUUUAAAAACAUCCUUGUGAAGUUAUGUAGACAUUACCAUAUGCUGAACCUAUCAUUACUGUUGGACUUUGCUUCCCAGACACGGAGAAUAAAGCAGGUGUCUACUUCUUCCUCUUUUGUGGUGUCUUCCCAUUUAAAUGGCUUAUUGAUGCAAGUACUGCAGCACAAAUGAAUGCUGAUGCCAGCUCUGCCCAUGUACAUGCCCACAGAAGAAGCACUGAAGGGAUAGCAAGAAUGCAUCACACACUCCUCAUGACUACUGACCCACACUCCUUGUCCUGGUUACCUUAAGAAGUCUCUGUGAUCCACUCAGGAUUCAGGGCACAAGCAGUAUCAUGGGCCACUCAGACCUAUAGCACCCAGGACACCAGGACAGAAUAUUCAGAGAGUCCCUUCAAACAUGGAGACUAUCUUGGCAGUAGUGUUGGAGAAUGGUGCCUGUGGUCCACAAAUGUUUAUCAAUGAGGGGAGGCUGAUGACAACUGAUCUUUAUUAAGGGACUUAUAUCUCACAAGGUGCUUUCACAUCAAUGAUUUAAUUUCCACAAUUUAUCUGGGGUGUAGUUUUUUUUAUUAUUCAAAUGGGAAAACUGGGCAGUGAGUAGUUCACUCAUCCAACUAAUAUUUAUUGAGGGCUUGCUAUGGACCUCUGUUCUAGGCACUAGGGGUAAAAGAGUAAACAGAACAGACAAAUUUCCUUCUCAGGUCACUUGUAUUCUAGUUGAUGCAGAGAAGGGAGACAGACAAUAGACGAACACACAGGUGAAGUCUACAGUCUGUCAGAUGGAGAUACUGCAAUGGAGGGCAAUGAUUCCCAGUGGGGAAUAGGGAAGAGUUUCCAUUGUAAAUAAGGCAGUCAGAAAGUGCCUUGUUGAAAAGGUGACCCUUGAGUAGAUAGCUAUAGAAGCUAAAAGAGCUAAUCAGACGGACACUCAGAAGCAGCAUCCUAGAGGCCCCCUGAAGUGCCAAGCAUUACUGCUUGAGUUAGUGAAUAGCGGAGUCACCCCCUGAUGGAUUUUAGGGAAAUUUCAAUGGAAGGAAACUGGGAAAAGAUAUUUACCAAAGGAGACAAAGGGAUUUCACUACUCACACCCUAGUUUCAGUGUGAGCCAGUUUGAUAUCAGCUCUAACAAGAAACCAAGGCUGAGCCUGCAUGGAGGAGUAAUGUGAUUGGGUUUGAUCUGCCUGAAGUAUUGAGAAUAGACUCUAGAGAGGCAAGGGUGAAAAUAUGGAGACCAGUUAGGUGGCCACUGCAGCAAUCUAGUGAGAGGUGAUGGAUCUGGUGUGAGAGAGGAAGACCAUGUGAAGCAUUACAUGAGGAACUGAAAGAUUGGAGUUGCAAUCAACUGAGAUAGGAAAGACUGGAGGUGAAGCAGGAUUGGAAAACAAGAUCAAAAAUUUGAUUUUAGACAUGUUAAGUUUGAGCUGAGUUAAGUUUAUUGACUUAAAUGCACCAAUACAACAGCCCUGUGAGCUAAGUACUGUGUUACUAUCUUCAAUUUUUAGUUGAGAUAACUUGGCUCAGAGAGUUGUGAUGACUUACCCGUAGUCACACAGCAAGCAGAUAGUACAUCAAGGACUCAAGCAAGAUUUUUCAAUCUGAGUUGAAUGCUUUUCCUAGGACCCCACAGAUGAGUACCAAACAGUGCUACCGAAGUAGAUAACUGAUGAGAAUUUCUUUUUCUGUGACUCACUCUAAGGCAGGAUUUAAAUCAAAACUUUUAAAGUCUAAGAUUUAGAGAAUCUGCUGUAAAAGGGGAGAAGAGUUUAAUUUUAUAUCCACUUGAGAAACCAAAGUUUUUUUCUUUCACCCUUAAAAAAUAAAACAAAACCGAGGUGAGCCUAAGGCCAGCAUGCUGAUUGCAUCAGAGAGACGAAGAUGAAAUGAGGAGAGAGGAAAACGGGCAUGAGCCCUAAAUCAGCACGUUAAAGGGGCUGGCCUGGGAGGUUUGUAUUAUCAGACGUUAGUCAGAGAGGGACUUUCUUUUGCUGGCUUAGAAGAAAACUGAAAUAACACAUUAAUUUUAGGUCCUUUGAUAUUUUUUCCUGGAGAUGUUUUGUUUUGAUACAUCCAACAACAGCCAAAGAGAAAGCCUCAGAAGACAGACAUAAUAAAAACAGCUGAUGAUCCCUAGUCACUAAGCAUAAGUUCCACUGUCUUAGUCUUGCCCAGCCCAAAUCAGCAGCUCACUAAGAAGCUACAGGACAUCCUGGAGGAUUUAAAGAGCAAGCCUCAAUGUUUCAAAGUUCCAGCAUCAGGACUUCUUCCUUCAGUUAAUGGCUUUGAGAACUGUUAAAAUUCAGAUGUUUCUGAGAAGGAUAAUGUUUUAAUUAAUAAAGAGAUCACUGAGUGUGUUGGAGGGAUUUACUAACAGAAAACUAAAUGGCUCAGCAUCGAAAGCUCUUUCAUUUUUGGGCAGAGGGACGGCUGGCUUCCAGUAGUUUAUAAACCAGGGUACCAUUGUUCGGGUAAAGAAAUGAGAGGGAAAACUGGAAUGUGUACUUACUCAUUCAACCAUCAUUUAUUGUGUAAAAAUAGUGACUGAUACGGUUUGGCUUUGUGUCCCCACCCAAAUCUCAUCUUGAAUUGUA